rnacentral:rRNA from 1 species
GCCAGCCGCUCAGAAACUUAAGGAAGUUGACGGGACCCGCACAAGCAGCGGAGCGUGUGGUUUAAUUCGAUGCUACACGAAGAACCUUACCAAGGUUUGACAUGUAAGUGGUAGUGAUCUGAAAAGUGAACGACCCUUCGGGGAGCUUACACAGGUGCUGCAUGGCUGUCGUCAGCUCGUGUCGUGAGAUGUUCGGUUUAAGUCCGCUAACGAGCGCAACCCUCACUGUGUGUUACAUGUGUCACACGGGACUGCCGGUUUUAAGCCGGAGGAAGGCGAGGAUGACGUCAAGUCAGCAUGGCCUUUAUAUCUUGGGCUACACACACGCUACAAUGGUCUGUACAAUAGGUUGCCAAGCCGCGAGGCGGAGCCAAUCCUUAAAGCAGGCCUCAGUUCAGAUUGCAGGCUGCAACCCGCCUGCAUGAAGAUGGAGUUGCUAGUAACCGCAGGUCAGCUAUACUGCGGUGAAUACGUUCCCGGGUCUU